rnacentral:rRNA from 1 species
UACGGAGGGUGCAAACGUUGCUCGGAAUCAUUGGGCGUAAAGCGCACGUAGGCGGUCGGCUAUGUCGGAUGUGAAAGCCUCGGGCUUAACCCGAGAAGGGCAUCCGAAACUGGCUGGCUUGAGUACGGAAGAGGGUCUCGGAAUUCCCGGUGUAGAGGUGAAAUUCGUAGAUAUCGGGAGGAACACCAGUGGCGAAGGCGGAGACCUGGGCCGAUACUGACGCUGAGGUGCGAAAGCGUGGGGAGCGAACAGG